rnacentral:rRNA from 1 species
GGGGAUCUUACUAGGUCAGGACCGAUUCAUGAAUGUCACCGUAAUGUGUCGCCGGUACAUGAUUGUUGGAUGAGUGGUGCAUGGCCGUUCUUAGUUCGUGGUGUGAUUCGUUGCAUUAAUUUGUUUCGGCCAUGUAUCUCUCGGUACAGACCUACAACGAACGAGAUCGAGACCCGUGGUUACAAUCUACGGGGAUCGCGUAAUAUUCAACGGUACGAUCGAAAGACUCGGCAAUAACAGGUCUGUGAUGCCCUCAGAUGUUCUAGGCUGCACACGUGCUACAUUGUGAGUUGUAGUAUAUUGUGUAUGCGUAGAUAUGUCUAAGAUCCCCCGCAUCGAGUCUCAAUUACUCACGUGGUUGGACUCACCGAUUGUAAUAAUUAUUCGGUAUACUAACUAGGAAUGCCUCGUACCGGGUCGGUUCAACGAGACCCCCUGGAAUCCGUCCCUGCCCUUUGUACACACCGCCCGUCGCUCUUACCGAUGGCCGUGGUUAUUAGUUUAGUUGAGUCUCAUCGCGAGGUGAAUCUAUGCACGUAACCACGACUAAAGGAAAGAGAAGU